CUUAUGCCGGCGACCGGCGGACGGGUGCGUAACGCGUAUGUAACCUACCUUUGACAGGGGGAUAACAUCGAGAAAUUGGUACUAAUACCCCAUAACAUCACCGGAGGCAUCUUCGGUGGUUGAAAACUCAGGUGGUCAGAGAUGGACAUGCGUUGUAUUAGCUAGUUGGUGAGGUAACGGCUCACCAAGGCGACGAUACAUAGGGGGACUGAGAGGUCAACCCCCCACAUUGGUACUGAGACACGGACCAAACUCCUACGGGAGGCAGCAG
rnacentral:rRNA from 1 species